rnacentral:rRNA from 1 species
CAUGCUGUGAGCUCGAUGAGUAGGGCGGGACACGUGGUAUCCUGUCUGAAUAUGGGGGGACCAUCCUCCAAGGCUAAAUACUCCUGACUGACCGAUAGUGAACCAGUACCGUGAGGGAAAGGCGAAAAGAACCCCGGCGAGGGGAGUGAAAAAGAACCUGAAACCGUGUACGUACAAGCAGUGGGAGCACGCUUAGGCGUGUGACUGCGUACCUUUUGUAUAAUGGGUCAGCGACUUAUAUUCUGUAGCAAGGUUAACCGAAUAGGGGAGCCGAAGGGAAACCGAGUCUUAACUGGGCGUUAAGUUGCAGGGUAUAGACCCGAAACCCGGUGAUCUAGCCAUGGGCAGGUUGAAGGUUGGGUAACACUAACUGGAGGACCGAACCGACUAAUGUUGAAAAAUUAGCGGAUGACUUGUGGCUGGGGGUGAAAGGCCAAUCAAACCGGGAGAUAGCUGGUUCUCCCCGAAAGCUAUUUAGGUAGCGCCUCGUGAAUUCAUCUCCGGGGGUAGAGCACUGUUUCGGCAAGGGGGUCAUCCCGACUUACCAACCCGAUGCAAACUGCGAAUACCGGAGAAUGUUAUCACGGGAGACACACGGCGGGUGCUAACGUCCGUCGUGAAGAGGGAAACAACCCAGACCGCCAGCUAAGGUCCCAAAGUCAUGGUUAAGUGGGAAACGAUGUGGGAAGGCCCAGACAGCCAGGAUGUUGGCUUAGAAGCAGCCAUCAUUUAAAGAAAGCGUAAUAGCUCACUGGUCGAGUCGGCCUGCGCGGAAGAUGUAACGGGGCUAAACCAUGCACCGAAGCUGCGGCAGCGACGCUUAUGCGUUGUUGGGUAGGGGAGCGUUCUGUAAGCCUGUGAAGGUGUGCUGUGAGGCAUGCUGGAGGUAUCAGAAGUGCGAAUGCUGACAUAAGUAACGAUAAAGCGGGUGAAAAGCCCGCUCGCCGGAAGACCAAGGGUUCCUGUCCAACGUUAAUCGGGGCAGGGUGAGUCGACCCCUAAGGCGAGGCCGAAAGGCGUAGUCGAUGGGAAACAGGUUAAUAUUCCUGUACUUGGUGUUACUGCGAAGGGGGGACGGAGAAGGCUAUGUUGGCCGGGCGACGGUUGUCCCGGUUUAAGCGUGUAGGCUGGUUUUCCAGGCAAAUCCGGAAAA